AACGCACGAGACCUGCGGACCUGCGGAAGGAUCAUUAGUGAACGCCCUCACGGGCUUAUAACUAUUCCAAACCUCUGUGAACCGUGCCCUUCGGGGCUAUUUUACAAACAUGGCGUAAUGAACGUCAUAUAUCAUAACAAAACAAAACUUUCAACAACGGAUCUCU
rnacentral:misc_RNA from 1 species